AGCGUUUCCCCAGGCCCUCAGAACACCAUCUGGCUGCAGUCUUUCCUUUUAGGGACCUGGUAUUUUCUGGCCCAGGGACAAAGCGCAUUUAUUUCAGAUGGAUCAACACUGUCACCCAGCGGGCAGACAGCUGGGCAGGCUGAGGCCUUAGCCUUGCUCUUGGCUUGACAGCCAGAUACUGACAGCCAGUAUUUGAAUAGGAACCUGUUUGUUUCGGGUGAUCAGGAUUAAUUGUUAAUAUUCUCUUGGAGGGAACUGGGACAACCUCAGCUGACAAGCCUUUGAUUUGGAUGUCAUGGCUGGAACUCAUCAACAAGCUGAAAGCAUUCAUCUGGGAACACUUUACACUUCUUACGAGCAUGUCCGAGGAAGUGGGGGCUGAGACUUCACCUUGUAGAAACUCUUGCAGAAUUUUGAUUAAAAGCAGUCUCUGUUCAUAGUGAGAAAAUCUGGAUUUGAAUUCUGAUCCCACCACAUGCGAGCUCCUUGACCUUAGAUAAGUUAACCUGUGUCUCAGUUUCCACCUCUGUUAUCAGGGAUAAAAUUAGUACCUACCCCCUGGAUUGCUGUGAGGAUUUAGAUAAGAAAAUACACAUGAAUAACUUAGCACAGUGCCUGGGCACAUAGUUAAAGAUCAAUAAACAUUAGUAUUACCAUUGUCAUAAUUAUUAUAAUGAUAUCUAUCAUAUAUAUUAUUCCCAAAAUGCAACUUUCAUAAAGUGCCUCUAGGCUAGCAGAUGAAAUCAUGGCAUCUUUUUAGCUGGAAGGGUCCUGAAAGAUCAUCCAGUCAUUGCUUCUCAUUAAAAUCACCCAGAGAAACUUUUAAAACAAACGCUAAUACCUCAUUGUAGCCAGACAAAAUAAUACUUACUGUAUGAAUCCUUUUUUUUUUUUUUUGAGAUGGAGUCUUGGACUGUCACCCAGGCUGGAGUGCAGUGCCAUGAUCUCCGCUCACCGCAACCUCUGCCUCC
rnacentral:lncRNA from 10 species